rnacentral:rRNA from 1 species
AUGAACGCUAGCUACAGGCUUAACACAUGCAAGUCGAGGGGCAUCAGGAAGAAAGCUUGCUUUCUUUGCUGGCGACCGGCGCACGGGUGAGUAACACGUAUCCAACCUGCCCUUUACUCGGGGAUAGCCUUUCGAAAGAAAGAUUAAUACCCGAUGGCAUAAUGAUUCCGCAUGGUUUCAUUAUUAAAGGAUUCCGGUAAAGGAUGGGGAUGCGUUCCAUUAGGUUGUUGGUGAGGUAACGGCUCACCAAGCCUUCGAUGGAUAGGGGUUCUGAGAGGAAGGUCCCCCACAUUGGAACUGAGACACGGUCCAAACUCCUACGGGAGGCAGCAGUGAGGAAUAUUGGUCAAUGGGCGCUAGCCUGAACCAGCCAAGUAGCGUGAAGGAUGAAGGCUCUAUGGGUCGUAAACUUCUUUUAUAUAAGAAAAAAGUGCAGUAUGUAUACUGUUUUGUAUGUAUUAUAUGAAUAAGGAUCGGCUAACUCCGUGCCAGCAGCCGCGGUAAUACGGAGGAUCCGAGCGUUAUCCGGAUUUAUUGGGUUUAAAGGGAGCGUAGGUGGACUGGUAAGUCAGUUGUGAAAGUUUGCGGCUCAACCGUAAAAUUGCAGUUGAUACUGUCAGUCUUGAGUACAGUAGAGGUGGGCGGAAUUCGUGGUGUAGCGGUGAAAUGCUUAGAUAUCACGAAGAACUCCGAUUGCGAAGGCAGCUCACUGGACUGCAACUGACACUGAUGCUCGAAAGUGUGGGUAUCAAACAGGAUUAGAUACCCUGGUAGUCCACACAGUAAACGAUGAAUACUCGCUGUUUGCGAUAUACAGUAAGCGGCCAAGCGAAAGCAUUAAGUAUUCCACCUGGGGAGUACGCCGGCAACGGUGAAACUCAAAGGAAUUGACGGGGGCCCGCACAAGCGGAGGAACAUGUGGUUUAAUUCGAUGAUACGCGAGGAACCUUACCCGGGCUUAAAUUGCAGUGGAAUGAUGUGGAAACAUGUCAGUGAGCAAUCACCGCUGUGAAGGUGCUGCAUGGUUGUCGUCAGCUCGUGCCGUGAGGUGUCGGCUUAAGUGCCAUAACGAGCGCAACCCUUAUCUUUAGUUACUAACAGGUCAUGCUGAGGACUCUAGAGAGACUGCCGUCGUAAGAUGUGAGGAAGGUGGGGAUGACGUCAAAUCAGCACGGCCCUUACGUCCGGGGCUACACACGUGUUACAAUGGGGGGUACAGAAGGCAGCUAGCGGGUGACCGUAUGCUAAUCCCAAAAUCCUCUCUCAGUUCGGAUCGAAGUCUGCAACCCGACUUCGUGAAGCUGGAUUCGCUAGUAAUCGCGCAUCAGCCACGGCGCGGUGAAUACGUUCCCGGGCCUUGUACACACCGCCCGUCAAGCCAUGGGAGCCGGGGGUACCUGAAGUACGUAACCGCAAGGAUCGUCCUAGGGUAAAACUGGUGACUGGGGCU